UACAGAGGGUGCGAGCGUUGUUCGGAAUUAUUGGGCGUAAAGGGCGCGUAGGCGGUGCGGUAAGUCACCUGUGAAAUCUCCUGGCUCAACUGGGAGCUUGCAGGCGAAACUGCCGUGCUGGAGUGUGGGAGAGGUGCGUGGAAUUCCUGGUGUAGCGGUGAAAUGCGUAGAUAUCGGGAGGAACACCUGUGGCGAAAGCGGCGCACUGGACCAUAACUGACGCUGAGGCGCGAAAGCUAGGGGAGCAAACAGG
rnacentral:rRNA from 1 species